GAAAAAAAAUGCAUUUUUUUUUUCUGUUGAUACUCUACAAAUCCUGAGUAUAAGGAAAGAAACGUUAUGAACAUAUCUGGCAGCAGAUAAAAUUCACAUCUUUAUGAAAUCUCUUGGGAGUCAAAAUUCAAGUCUCUAAAAACAGCAAUUCUGGAACGAGUUUUUUUGGAACCAAAGAUGUUUUUUUGCAGGAAGCUUUGUUAGCCUCACUCCUUGGCCAGAAGCUGUGGGAAGCUGUGGAUAGCAGGACGAGGAACAGUCUGGGACUAUUACUGCCCAUUUUACAGAUGAGGAGACUGAGAUCCAGGACCAACCCAGAUCUAUUGGUGCCACAGCACAUGCUCUUAUGUCACUAGGCUCUGAAGAAGAAACACAAAUUCUCUAAAUUUGGGGGUCUCUAGAGUGAUACCCUGUUUGCAAAGUGCCAUUCAGGUUUAGAAAAACAAACUCACCUCUCCCGGGGGAUCCAGUGAAUGUCUGUCUCCUCACAAAAGCCUGGUAUGAUAACUUCAUCUGCUACGUCUCUGACUCUUCUGAUUGACCAGAGCCUGCAAUUAGAUGAAAUUCAACAAUUACCGAAAACCCUUGAGAGAAAAGACCACUUUGCUGGGU